rnacentral:rRNA from 1 species
UACGAAGGGUGCAAGCGUUAAUCGGAAUUACUGGGCGUAAAGCGUGCGUAGGUGGUUUGUUAAGUCUGCUGUGAAAGCCCUGGGCUCAACCUGGGAAUGGCGGUGGAUACUGACAAGCUAGAGUGCGGUAGAGGAGGGUGGAAUUCCCGGUGUAGCGGUGAAAUGCGUAGAGAUCGGGAGGAACAUCAGUGGCGAAGGCGGCCCUCUGGACCAGCACUGACGCUGAGGCACGAAAGCGUGGGGAGCAAACAGGAUUAGAUACCCUGGUAGUCCACGCCCUAAACGAUGCGAACUGGACGUUGGGCACAAUUCGGUGCUCAGUGUCGAAGCUAACGCGUUAAGUUCGCCGCCUGGGGAGUACGCUCGCAAGAGUGAA